rnacentral:rRNA from 1 species
UAAGAGGUCCCGCCUGCCCGGUGACUUUAAUGUUUAACGGCCGCGGUAUCUUGACCGUGCAAAGGUAGCGCAAUCACUUGCCCUUUAAAUGGGGGCCCGUAUGAAUGGCAUCACGAGGGCUAAUCUGUCUCCUUUCUCCAGUCAAUGAAAUUGAUCUCCCCGUGCAGAAGCGGGGAUAAAACCAUAAGACGAGAAGACCCUGUGGAGCUUUAGAUACUAAGUCUGCCUCUCCUUUAACAUAAUCAACACAAUGAUAUCUAAAUAAGAGACACAGACAGACUAUCUUUGGUUGGGGCGACCGCGGGGACUAAAAUAACCCCCAUGUGGAGCAGGAAUACAAUAUUCCCAAAACCAAGAGUUACCACUCUAAUUAACAGAAAUUCUGACCUAAAAAUGAUCCGACAAAGUCGAUCAACGGACCGAGUUACCCCAGGGAUAACAGCGCAAUCCCCUUUAAGAGUUCUUAUCGACAAGGGGGUUUACGACCUCGAUGUUGGAUCAGGACAUCCUAAUGGCGCAGCAACUAUUAAAGGUUCGUUUGUUCAACG